UCCUACGGGACGCAGCAGUGGGGAAUCUUGCGCAAUGGGCGAAAGCCUGACGCAGCGACGCCGCGUGGGGGAAGAAGGCUUUCGGGUUGUAAACCCCUUUCAGGAAGGACGAAGCCACUCGGGUUAAUAGCCCAGAGGGUGACGGUACUUCCAGAAGAAGCCCCGGCUAACUACGUGCCAGCAGCCGCGGUAAUACGUAGGGGGCAAGCGUUGUCCGGAUUUAUUGGGCGUAAAGAGCGUGUAGGCGGUUUGGUAGGUCCGCUGUGAAAACUCGAGGCUCAACCUCGAGACGCCGGUGGAAACCCCCAGACUAGAGUCCGGAAGAGGAGAGUGGAAUUCCUGGUGUAGCGGUGAAAUGCGCAGAUAUCAGGAAGAACACCCGUGGCUAAGGCGGCUCUCUAGUACGGUACUGACGCUGAGACGCGAAAGCGUGGGGAGCGAACAGGAUUAGAUACCCCGGU
rnacentral:rRNA from 1 species